rnacentral:tRNA from 2 species
CCAAGGGUAGUCUACGCCAGACAUUUGAUUUCGACCCAAAAGACCUUAUAUUUAAGCCCUUGUA